AACGAACGCUGGCGGCAGGCUUAACACAUGCAAGUCGAGCGCCUCGCAAGGGGAGCGGCAGACGGGUGAGUAACGCGUGGGAAACUACCCUUUGGUACGGAAUAACACAGAGAAAUUUGUGCUAAUACCGUAUGAGCCCUUCGGGGGAAAGAUUUAUCGCCAUAGGAUGUGCCCGCGUAGGAUUAGCUAGUUGGUGUGGUAAUGGCGCACCAAGGCGACGAUCCUUAGCUGGUCUGAGAGGAUGAUCAGCCACACUGGGACUGAGACACGGCCCAGACUCCUACGGGAGGCAGCAGUGGGAAUAUUGGACAAUGGGCGCAAGCCUGAUCCAGCCAUGCCGCGUGAGUGAUGAAGGCCUUAGGGUUGUAAAGCUCUUUCACCCACGGCGAUAAUGACGGUAGUGGGAGAAGAAGCCCGGCUAACUUCGUGCCAGCAGCCGCGGUAAGGCUAACGAGA
rnacentral:rRNA from 1 species